rnacentral:rRNA from 1 species
UGGGGAAUUUUGGACAAUGGGCGCAAGCCUGAUCCAGCCAUGCCGCGUGGGUGAAGAAGGCCUUCGGGUUGUAAAGCCCUUUCGGCUGGGACGAAAAGGUCCGUGCUAACACCACGGACUAAUGACGGUACCAGCAGAAGAAGCACCGGCUAACUACGUGCCAGCAGCCGCGGUAAUACGUAGGGUGCAGGCGUUAAUCGGAAUUACUGGGCGUAAAGCGUGCGCAGGCGGUUUGCUAAGAGAGAUGUGAAAUCCCCGGGCUUAACCUGGGAACUGCGUUUCUAACUGGCAGGCUUGAGUGUGGCAGAGGGGGGUGGAAUUCCACGUGUAGCAGUGAAAUGCGUAGAUAUGUGGAGGAACACCGAUGGCGAAGGCAGCCCCCUGGGCUAACACUGACGCUCAUGCACGAAAGCGUGGGGAGCAAACAG